rnacentral:rRNA from 1 species
UACAGAGGGGGCAAGCGUUGUUCGGAAUUACUGGGCGUAAAGGGUGCGCAGGCGGUUAUAUAAGACAGAUGUGAAAUCCCCGGGCUCAACCUGGGAACGUGCGUUUGUGUACUGUAUGACUAGAGUACGGUAGAGAGGGGUGGAAGUUCCGUUCGGUGGUAGCAGUGAAAUGACGUAGAUAUCAGGAGGAACAUCGAUGGCGAAGGC